rnacentral:rRNA from 1 species
UACGAAGGGGGCUAGCGUUGCUCGGAAUCACUGGGCGUAAAGCGCACGUAGGCGGUUUCUUAAGUCAGGGGUGAAAUCCCGGAGCUCAACUCCGGAACUGCCUUUGAUACUGGGAGACUUGAGUUCGGGAGAGGUGAGUGGAGCUGCGAGUGUAGAGGUGAAAUUCGUAGAUAUUCGCAAGAACACCAGUGGCGAAGGCGGCUCACUGGCCCGAUACUGACGCUGAGGUGCGAAAGCGUGGGGAGCAAACAGG